rnacentral:rRNA from 1 species
GAGUUUGAUCGUGGCUCAGAACGAACGCUGGCGGCAUGCCUAACACAUGCAAGUCGAACGGGAUCCAGGCUUCGGCCUGGUGAGAGUGGCGGACGGGUGAGUAACGCGUGGGAACCUGCCCAAUGGUCUGGGAUAACCGCGGGAAACUGCGGCUAAUACCGGAUAAGCCCGAGAGGGGAAAGAUUUAUCGCCGAUGGAGGGGCCCGCGUCCGAUUAGGUAGUUGGUGAGGUAACGGCUCACCAAGCCUUCGAUCGGUAGCUGGUCUGAGAGGAUGAUCAGCCACACUGGGACUGAGAUACGGCCCAGACUCCUACGGGAGGCAGCAGUGGGGAAUAUUGGACAAUGGGGGCAACCCUGAUCCAGCAAUGCCGCGUGAGUGAUGAAGGCCUUC